GAUGAACGCUGGCGGCGUGCCUAAUACAUGCAAGUCGAGCGAACAGACGAGGAGCUUGCUCCUCUGACGUUACCGACGGACGGGUGAGUAACACGUGGCUAACCUACCUAUAAGACUUGGCUAACUUCGGCAAACCGGAGCUACUACCGGAUAAUAUAUUGAACCGCAUGGUUCAGUAGUGAAAGACGGUUUUGCUGUCACUUAUAGAUGGAUCAGCGCCUCAUUAGCUAGUUGGUAAGGUAACGGCUUACCAAGGAAACGAUGCGUAGCCGACGCGAGGGCGUGUACCGCCACUCUGGAACUGACACACGGUACAGACACCUACGGGCGGCAGCGGUACGGACUCGUCCGAGCUGUGCGAAAGCCUGCCGGAUGAACGCCGCGCGAGUGCUGCAGGUCUGCGGAUCGUAUAACUCUGUUAUGAUGGAAGAACACAUGUGUAAGUAACUAUGCACGUCUUGACGGUAGCUAAUCAGAAAGCCACGGCUAACUACGUG
rnacentral:rRNA from 1 species